ACUAUCGUCAUGAGUAGCCAAGUUAAGAGAGACAAGCCAAGUGGAGAUCCUAGGAGCUUGAAUAUAAUAUUUGUUUGAUUGCUUGAGUGAUUGCUAAGUCCGAAGGAAAUGAGCAUCUUGAUUCAUCUUUAUGAUUUCAAGAAAAUGAACUCCAAGGGUUUUAUCUCUUCCCUUAUCUUUGCAUGUUUAAGAAUAUCCCUUCUCUUCUUCUCUCCAC
rnacentral:lncRNA from 1 species